rnacentral:rRNA from 1 species
AUUGAACGCUGGCGGCAGGCCUAACACAUGCAAGUCGAACGAGUGGCGGACGGGUGCGUAAUGUCUGGGAAACUGCCCGAUGGAGGGGGAUAAAUACUGGAAACGGUAGCUAAUACCGCAUACCAUCGGAUGUGCCCAGAUGGGAUUAGCUAGUAGUGGGGGUAACGGCUCACCUAGGCGACGAUCCCUAGCUGGUCUGAGAGGCUGACCAGCCACACUGGAACUGAGACACGGUCCAGACGCCUAAGGGAGGCAGCAGGGGUGAAUAUUGCACAAUGGGCGCAAGCCUGAGGCAGCAAUCCCGGGUGUAUGAAGAAGGCCGUCGGGUUGUAAAGGACUUUCAGCGAGGAGGCGUUACUCGCAGAAGAAGCACCGGCUAACUCCGUGCCAGCAGCCGCGGUAAUAC